rnacentral:rRNA from 1 species
GACGAACCACACGAACGUUAUUCGGAAUCACUGGGCUUAAAGGGUGCGUAGGCGGCGCGGAAAGUAGGGUGUGAAAUCCCUCGGCUUAACCGAGGAAUAGCGCUCUAAACUACCGUGCUCGAGGGAGAUAGAGGUGAGCGGAACUUAGGGUGGAGCGGUGAAAUGCGUUGAUAUCCUAAGGAACACCGGUGGCGAAGGCGGCGAUCUGGGCAGAUACUGACGCUGAGGUGCGAAAGCGUGGGGAGCAAACAGG